CGGGUGAUGGUAAUAAUUGUAGUCACAAUAGUAACAAGGAUGGCGGUGGUGGGGCAAUGCUGGUUAUGGAAUAGCAGAACAGUGAUAAUUGUAGUAGUAGCUUGUCAAUGCAGUGAUAAUGAAGAUGGCAGCAUCAUCAAAGAGUGGUGAUUAUGGUGCUAUAGCAACAGUAGCAACAUCAAAGAUAUUAUGGCAGCUGAG
rnacentral:misc_RNA from 1 species